rnacentral:rRNA from 1 species
GUUUGAUCCUGGCUCAGGAUGAACGCUAGCGGCAGGCUUAACACAUGCAAGUCGCGGGGCAGCGGGGUGAGAGCUUGCUCUCACCGCCGGCGACCGGCGCACGGGUGAGUAACACGUAUGCAACCUGCCCCUGUCAGGGGGACAACCCGCCGAAAGGCGGGCUAAUCCCGCGUAUAUCCCGGAGGGGCAUCCUUCCGGGAGGAAAGGAUUUAUCCGGACAGGGAUGGGCAUGCGGCGCAUUAGGCAGACGGCGGGGUAACGGCCCACCGUACCGACGAUGCGUAGGGGUUCUGAGAGGAAGGCCCCCCACACUGGUACUGAGACACGGACCAGACUCCUACGGGAGGCAGCAGUGAGGAAUAUUGGUCAAUGGGCGAGAGCCUGAACCAGCCAAGUCGCGUGAGGGAAGACGGUCCUAUGGAUUGUAAACCUCUUUUGCCGGGGAGCAAUGCCGCUCUUGCGAGAGCGGAGGGAGAGUACCCGGAGAAAAAGCAUCGGCUAACUCCGUGCCAGCAGCCGCGGUAAUACGGAGGAUGCGAGCGUUAUCCGGAUUUAUUGGGUUUAAAGGGUGCGUAGGCGGUGGAUUAAGUCAGCGGUAAAAGACCGGGGCUCAACCCCGGCAAGCCGUUGAAACUGGUCUGCUGGAGUUGGAGAGAAGUAUGCGGAAUGCGCGGUGUAGCGGUGAAAUGCAUAGAUAUCGCGCAGAACUCCGAUUGCGAAGGCAGCAUACCGGCUCCAUACUGACGCUGAGGCACGAAAGCGUGGGUAUCGAACAGGAUUAGAUACCCUGGUAGUCCACGCAGUAAACGAUGAAUGCUGGCUGUCCGGGGGGCUUUACCCCUGGGUGGCGAAGCGAAAGCGAUAAGCAUUCCACCUGGGGAGUACGCCGGCAACGGUGAAACUCAAAGGAAUUGACGGGGGCCCG